rnacentral:lncRNA from 1 species
GCUAAUUGGUUCCUAGGCCCGGCUUUCUGUUUGGGGGCCAUUCUUAAUUUCUAGUUGAAUCCAGAUGUUGAACGGUCCUUGAAGUUCUAUUCCAGGGCUCCCAGGCAGCAGAAUCUGCCCACAGAGUUCGGAGUGAUAGAUUCGUGUGGCCUUUCAAAUGAUUGUGAAGUGGUGGAAAUGGAUCCAAAAUAAUAAGUGACUUCUCUACCAAAGCAUAGAAGAUUCUUCAUAUCUCCUUCCAGUGGCUCAAUUUAGAUUUUGGGAAGGAGCAGAACAAGUGAAACACAGAAAACUGAAGAGAAGAAAUCCUCAUUUUGGACCUAUAUUUCUCCUUGACUAUUUCUUAAUAUCCAUCCUACCCAUCGUUCUAAUGUUUUAACUUUGCUCUGAAUUUAUAAAUAGUAAAGGCCAAAGACAUAGAAUAUACAUUUAGUAGCUUUAUACCAAGAAAUUUGCCUUGAAAGCUGCUGUUCGUGGAGGGAAAAGUGUAGCAAAUUCCUGUCUAUUUUUAUUUUUUAUUUUUUUUUAACAAAGACAAGAUUUAUGUCCCUAGAUUUUG